UGAUAAGUAUCCAGUGAAUGAGUAGCAGCUGAUGUGGGGUGGUUGGCUGGGGCUGAACGCUACUUUAAAAUAAUUGAAGAAAGAAUAGUUUGAAGUGGAAAGGUUUAAAUGUUUGACUUGUGGGUAUGAUAUUGGUUGGAACAUAUACAGGCAAUUAUUCACUAUUUAAAAGCAAUCCUUUGUAUUCCCAUGCACAAAAUGCAUGUUUGAGUUGUCCUAACUGAAAAUAACUUCCAUCUUUAAAAUAUCUCAGUGCCAUUGUUUUGUCUCAAGAUGCAUACCAGUAAUGUUUUUUUCUAAGGCAUUUUAAUAGAAGCUGUUUAUAUACCCUAAUUUAAGUAAGGCAUAGUCCUGGCUUAAGCUAAUCUGUCUGUGAACCUGGGCUUUUGUGCGAGAGUGAAGCUUUGCAUCACUAGCACCGUUUGCAGGCUUCACUACAUCUCCACAUUUCAAAAUUUUAACUUUCGUACUACUAAUAUACAUUUUAAUUUUACUUGGUUGUAGAUUAAACCCAUUUUAAGAGCAAAUGAUCAAAUGCAGUCUGAAGAUUUACUUCAUAUAAAUGCCUUUUAUUUAUUACUCAAAUCAUGGAAAUGUGUGUAUUAGUGUGUGUGCAAAGUCCCCUCAAAUCAUGGAAAUGUGUGUAUUAGUGUGUGUGCAAGGUCCCCUCAAAUCAUGGGAAUGCGUGUAUUAGUGUGUGUGCAAGGUCCCCUCAAAUCAUGGGAAUGCGUGUAUUAGUGUGUGUGCAAAGCCCCCUCAAAUCAUGGGAAUGCGUGUAUUAGUGUGUGCAAAGUCCCCUCAAAUCAUGGAAAUGCGUGUAUUAGUGUGUGUGCAAAGUCCCCUCAAAUCAUGGGAAUGCGUGUAUUAGUGUGUGCAAAGUCCCCUCAAAUCAUGGAAAUGCGUGUAUUAGUGUGUGUGCAAAGUCCCCUCAAAUCAUGGGAAUGUGUGUGUAUUAUGCAAAUGAUAUGCAUAUAAUAUGCUAAUUUGGUCCCUGUAAGUCACGUUCACCCGAUUUUUCAGAAGUCCCCAUUAAGCAUGGUCAAGUCAUUACUUCAUUAAUUGAGGUGUCUGAAGUCGUGUAUAGGCUAAGAGAGCUAUGGUUAGUGUCCCUAAUUUUUUUCAGACCUCUGAACCCUUUAGAAAGGGUGGUCCCCACAUGUGAUGAUUAAAAAGUUGGUCCCCAUCAAACAUGGAAACCAGUAUGUGUGUGUGUGUGUGUGUGU
ensembl:lncRNA